AAGUAGUGUGGCAUGCCCGUUGUUGUUGAACUCUGAUAUUUUAUUUAUUAUUUAAUUGUUUGGGUUAACGGGGUGUUACAAUAAU
rfam:Medicago truncatula strain A17 chromosome 7, whole genome shotgun sequence.